rnacentral:rRNA from 1 species
UACGGAGGGUGCAAGCGUUAUCCGGAUUUACUGGGUUUAAAGGGUGCGUAGGUGGGUAGGUAAGUCAGUGGUGAAAUCUUCAAGCUUAACUUGGAAACUGCCAUUGAUACUAUUUAUCUUGAAUACUUUGGAGGUAAGCGGAAUAUGUCAUGUAGCGGUGAAAUGCUUAGAUAUGACAUAGAACACCAAAUUGCGAAGGCAGCUUACUACGGAUUGAUUGACACUGAGGCACGAAAGCGUGGGGAUCAAACGG